rnacentral:siRNA from 1 species
UCCGCUUUUCUGUGUGUCUCA